rnacentral:rRNA from 1 species
GCCUAUGGCCACACCACCCUGAAAGCACCCGAUCUCGUCUAAUCUUGAAAGCGGUCCAGGGCCAGGCCUGGUUACUACUUGGAUGGGAGUCUGACUGGGAAUACCAGGUGUUGUAGGCU